CGCCUGGGGAGUACGGCCGCAAGGUUAAAACUCAAAUGAAUUGACGGGGGCCCGCACAAGCGGUGGAGCAUGUGGUUUAAUUCGACGCAACGCGAAGAACCUUACCUGGCCUUGACAUCCAGAGAGCUUUCCAGAGAUGGAUUGGUGCCUUCGGGAACUCUGAGACAGGUGCUGCAUGGCCGUCGUCAGCUCGUGUCGUGAGAUGUUGGGUUAAGUCCCGUAACGAGCGCAACCCCUAUCCAUGGUUGCUAGCAGGUAAUGCUGAGAACUCCAGGGAGACUGCCGGUGACAAACCGGAGGAAGGUGGGGAUGACGUCAGGUCAUCAUGGCCCUUACGGCCAGGGCUACACACGUGCUACAAUGGCGCGUACAGAGGGCUGCCAACUCGCGAGAGUGAGCCAAUCCCUUAAAACGCGUCGUAGUCCGGAUCGGAGUCUGCAACUCGACUCCGUGAAGUCGGAAUCGCUAGUAAUCGCGAAUCAGAAUGUCGCGGUGAAUACGUUCCCGGGCCUUGUACACACCGCCCGUCACACCAUGGGAGUGGAUUGCACCAGAAGUAGUUAGUCUAACCUUCGGGAGGACGAUUACCACGGUGUGGUUCAUGACUGGGGUGAAGUCGUAACAAGGUAACCGUA
rnacentral:rRNA from 1 species